rnacentral:rRNA from 1 species
GAGCGGCCCGCGUCUGAUUAGCUAGUUGGUGAGGUAACGGCUCACCAAGGCGACGAUCAGUAGCUGGUCUAAGAGGAUGAUCAGCCUCACUGGGACUGAGACACGGCCCAGACUCCUACGGGAGGCAGCAGUGGGGAAUAUUGCACAAUGGGCGCAAGCCUGAUGCAGCAACGCCGCGUGCGGGAUGACGGCCUUCGGGUUGUAAACCGCUUUCAGUUCCGACGAAGCGCAAGUGACGGUAGGAACAGAAGAAGGACCGGCCAACUACGUGCCAGCAGCCGCGGUGAUACGUAGGGUCCGAGCGUUGUCCGGAAUUAUUGGGCGUAAAGGGCUUGUAGGCGGUUUGUCACGUCGGAAGUGAAAACUCAGGGCUUAACCCUGAGCCUGCUUCCGAUACGGGCAAACUAGAGGAAUGCAGGGGAGAAUGGAAUUCCUGGUGGAGCGGUGGAAUGCGCAGAUAUCAGGAGGAACACCGGUGGCGAAGGCGGUUCUCUGGGCAUUUCCUGACGCUGAGAAGCGAAAGCGUGGGGAGCAAACAGGCUUAGAUACCCUGGUAGUCCACGCCGUAAACGGUGGGCACUAGGUGU